UACGUAGGGAGCAAGCGUUGUUCGGAUUUACUGGGCGUAAAGGGCGCGUAGGCGGCGUGUCAAGUCGAUUGUGAAAUCUCCGGGCUUAACUCGGAUCGGCCAAUCGAUACUGACGUGCUAGAGUGCAGAAAGGGCAAUCGGAAUUCUUGGUGUAGCGGUGAAAUGCGUAGAUAUCAAGAGGAACACCUGAGGCGAAGGCGGGUUGCUAGGCUGACACUGACGCUGAUGCGCGAAAGCCAGGGGAGCAAACGGG
rnacentral:rRNA from 1 species